rnacentral:sRNA from 1 species
UAACUCACUAUAAAAAGGUUCGCCAGGGU